GUCGGCUGGGCCGAGCCCAACCCAUUUCUUCUUCUUUCUCUUCUCCCUCCCUCCCGAUUUUUCUUCUCUUCUCACCCGGUUUUCCCCUCUCUACACCCAGCAGAAUUCCGGCCGUCCUCCCGCCGCCGUCCGACCUCCGUUCGCCGCCGGACCGGUCCCGUUCGGUCGGUCUCCCUCCCAGCAACAUUUCUAGACCGGUGACAGCCUCCCUAGCGCCGCCGUGAGUGAGCGGUGCCGCCCGAAAGCUUCGACUGCCGAAUCGGUUUUUUCGCCGGAACUUCCUCCUCCGGCCACCAAUCCGGGCAAGCUUGGUAUGGUUUUGUAGCCCUCCAACCCAGCAACCUUGCCCUAAAAGGACUCACUCCCUCUUGAGCUAGGUAAGGAGAAAUUUGAGGUGGAAGUUUUAUGGUUUUUUUGAUGUUUUUAGUCGAUUGCCCUAGUUAGGCUUGGAAUUGGUGUUUGUGCUAGUUAUGAAAGUUGUAGAGCUUGAUGAGAGGAAGAUGCUGUUAAAAUUUCAUAGGUUUUGGAGGUCGCCGGAAUUGACCUCCGGCCGCCGCCGGUUGGGAGAUUUUAAUGUUGAUUAAAUUUGGAAUAUUAAGGGGAGUUUAUUGAAGUGAGUUAUGGAAUUUUUGGAUGAGUUUUGGAUAGGUUUAUGAAUUUCCGAAGUGUGGUAUUUUUGGCGGGUAAUUAAUGUAGAAUCCGGCCGUUGGAUUUAAGUCGUAUUUUGGAGAGGUUGUAUUUACGACUGUGGAGUAUGAUAUUUAAGUUCGGAUCGUCCGAUGUAAGAAUAUCGAAGUUAGGCAAUAAUGAGCGUAAUUAUGGCUCUCGGGUAAUUUUGCCUAUUUUGAUUAAAUAUUGGAUAUUGGUUGGGAAAUUAAUAUUAUAUUUGGAACAGGACGUGAAGAGGCUCGAGCAGACGAGACCCCAGAUUGACAUCAGGCUUAGGCCUAAUUCGUGAGUGGACGUUUAUUUUAAAUAAA
rnacentral:lncRNA from 1 species